AACGAACGCUGGCGGCAGGCUUAACACAUGCAAGUCGAGCGCCCCGCAAGGGGAGCGGCAGACGGGUGAGUAACGCGUGGGAAUCUACCCAUCUCUACGGAAUAACGCAUGGAAACGUGUGCUAAUACCGUAUACGUCCUUCGGGAGAAAGAUUUAUCGGAGAUGGAUGAGCCCGCGUUGGAUUAGCUGGUUGGUGGGGAAAAGGCCUACCAAGGCGACGAGCCAUAGCUGGUCUGAGAGGAUGAUCAGCCACACUGGGACUGAGACACGGCCCAGACUCCUACGGGAGGCAGCAGUGGGGAAUAUUGGACAAUGGGCGCAAGCCUGAUCCAGCCAUGCCGCGUGAGUGAUGAAGGCCCUAGGGUUGUAAAGCUCUUUCACCGGUGAAGAUAAUGACGGUAACCGGAGAAGAAGCCCCGGCUAACUUCGUGCCAGCCGCCGCUGUAAAAC
rnacentral:rRNA from 1 species